rnacentral:rRNA from 1 species
AGCGAACGCUGGCGGCAGGCCUAACACAUGCAAGUCGAACGAACCUUUCGGGGUUAGCGGCGGACGGGUGAGUAACACGUGGGAACGUGCCUUUAGGUUCGGAAUAACUCAGGGAAACUUGUGCUAAUACCGCAUGUGCCCUUCGGGGGUAAGAUUUAUCGCCUUUAGAGCUGACCGCGUCUGAUUAGCUAGUUGGUUGAGGUAAUGGCUCACCAAGGCGACGAUCAGUAGCUGGUGUGAGAGGAUGAUCAGCCACAUUGGGACUGAGACACGGCCCAAACUCCUACGAGAGGCAGCAGUGGGGAAUCUUGCGCGAUGGGCGAGAGCCUGACGCAGCCAUGCCGCGUGAAUGAUGAAGGUCUUAGGAUUGUAAAAUUCUUUCACCGGGGAAGAUAAUGACGGUACCCGGAGAAGAAGCCCCGGCUAACUUCGUG